rnacentral:rRNA from 1 species
GACGAACGCUGGCGGCGCGCCUAACACAUGCAAGUCGAACGGAGCUACCUUUUCGGAAGUUUUCGGAUGGAAGAGGAAGUAGCUUAGUGGCGAACGGGUGAGUAACACGUGAGGAACCUGCCUUAAAGAGGGGGACAACAGUUGGAAACGACUGCUAAUACCGCAUAAGCCCACGGUGCCGCAUGGCACAGGGGGAAAAGGAGAAAUCCGCUUUAAGAUGGACUCGCGUCCAAUUAGCUAGAUGGUGAGGUAAAGGCUCACCAUGGCGACGAUUGGUAGCCGGACUGAGAGGUUGAACGGCCACAUUGGGACUGAGACACGGCCCAGACUCCUACGGGAGGCAGCAGUGGGGAAUAUUGCACAAUGGGGGAAACCCUGAUGCAGCGACGCCGCGUGGAGGAAGAAGGUUUUCGGAUUGUAAACUCCUGUCUUCGGGGACGAUAAUGACGGUACCCGAGGAGGAAGCCACGGCUAACUACGUGCCAGCAGCCGCGGUAAAACGUAGGUGGCAAGCGUUGUCCGGAAUUACUGGGUGUAAAGGGAGCGCAGGCGGGUCGGUAAGUUGGGAGUGAAAACUAUGGGCUCAACCCAUAAAUUGCUUUCAAGACUGCUGAUCUUGAGUGGUGUAGAGGUAGGCGGAAUUCCCGGUGUAGCGGUGGAAUGCGUAGAUAUCGGGAGGAACACCAGUGGCGAAGGCGGCCUACUGGGCACUAACUGACGCUGAGGCUCGAAAGCAUGGGUAGCAAACAGG